rnacentral:lncRNA from 1 species
CGACGUUAUUCCUCUCUCCUACAGCAUCCAUCACAAUUACAUGCACAUGGCCAAUUAUCCAAAUUAGGUGAUGACAUCAUUUAGCAACUUCUAGCAACUUUUAGGAAAGCCAAUAGCUACUUUCCAUACUGAGGAGUUGGCAGCACUGCCCGUGGGAGCUGCGCGGCAGUCUCGAGGGAAUAUUGCUCACAGCUGCUGGUCCUUGCCUUGUCUGUACAAGGAGAAGGCAUUAUUUGAUUGGCUAAUGGCAAAUAGGCAUUGAAAAUGACCCAACACACCUCCAAGCUGUGUAAGGGCUAUUUGACCAAUAAGGAGAGGAAUGGAGUGCUGUAUCAGAUGACCUGGCAUCCACAAUCACCCGACCUCACCCCAAUUGAGUUGGACGGCAGUGUGAAGGAAAAGCAGAUAACAAGUGCUCAGCAUAUGUGGGAACUCCUUCAAGAUUGUUGGAAAAGCAGUCCAGGUGAAGCUGGUUGAGAGAAUGCCAAGAGUGUGCAAAGCUGUCAUCAAGGCAAAGGGUGGCUACUUUGAAAAAUUUAAAAUAUAUUUGGA